UCCCAUCCCAUCAAAACAUACUUUUAGCACCAGGCAGGAAUCGAGGGUUAAGCCUCCUUUUCUUUUUUUUCUCAUUUUUGCUCCUCCUGACUUCUGUGAACACAUUAUGAUACCGCCUUCGGUUCCACUAUUACAUCUUUUCCCACAAGACCGUUGCCUCAUCCAGACCACAGCGGGGAAUGUGCUUUCAUCUCUGCCAGCUGGGUACUGCUGGAGCGCCCGGCCGUGCCCCCAGGAGCUGAACAGAGAAGACACAGAAGAGGUCAGGUGCUGCAGAUUCGUCCACAGGGCUUUGGUCAGACCCACAUCUGGGAGGGCAUUUCCAGGGAGCCUCCCAUUGUCUCCUUUGUCCCGCCUGGAACAAAGGACCUCCAUGAGACGGGGUUUCCUCUCUCCUGAGUUUAGGUGCCUAAAAGUUAGGUGUCUAAACCUAAUUAGUUGGACAGGCUUCUUGCAUAGUCAAUGGAGACAAAUAGGUACCUCUACUGUGUGAUUCACCUCGACUAUCUUCAGCAUUUAUCUUGAGAAGGGCUGACUCACUCUGGAGCUGAAUGCCCACUUCUCUUCUGCGACUGUAAAGGCAGAUGGGCAACUUGCUUAGAACUUGAUAGCUAAUUUCGGGAUGCCCCAAGUUCAGCAAGGCGGAUCCCACCCUGCAGCCAGGCCACAGCAGUGGCUCUGGGCACCAUUGCUGUGUGCUGUCUGAGACCCCCCAUCAAAUUUCCCUCAGAGGUUCCAUGUCCAGCCAUACCAAGCAGGGCUGGGUCUUAGUGUGUCCAAAUCACAUUAUCAGCCCCUAUCACGUUAUCAGACCAAGUUAAAUAUUUAUAAAGCUCUUGGGGGCAGGGUCCACAUCUUGCUACGUGUUUGUAUAUUCUUUCAUGGAGCAAAGCCCCGGCACCGGUUGCAACCUUUGUGGACUGGUGCAAUGCAGGAUGGGGAAUCUCUGUGUAAAUCUGCAGGUCUUGACGAAAUGCAGCUGGGAGUGCAAAGAGUGCUCAUGGACAUUGAGAAAUAAGCAGGAGUGAAUCAUAAGAGUCAGGAGAAGCUACUAAUGUGUGGGAAAAAGGCAAAUGUGCUACCUCUGCACAAACAUAUAAUAAGGAAGUAUGUAAUAAUAAUUAUUGUUAUUGUAAUACGGUCUGGGUGAGCAUUUGGGAAAAAGAUAUCUAAUAACUGACAAGCAACGUGGCUCGGUUUGUUUUGAUCUGAAAUUCAAACAAUGGUUAUGUUUAUAAGGUAAUAAUACACAGGGCACAGAGCACUGGCACUGCACCAACUAUGCACUCCACAGGUCGGGUUUAUAUAGGUCAUGCCAAACAAAUAAUAGUGUUCUUCAAUAUAAUUACUGAUUCAUUAAGAGAAUGAGAGAGAAUGUAAUCGAGUCUGUUUGGAUUUCAGGGAGGUGUUAGAUAUGGUAAAUUUAUACAUUUGAACUUGGAUUUUGGAGGUAUCAUGUGUUUGCCCAGCUCUGCUCCUCCGGAAGCCAGCGGUGAAAUUCCCGUUGCGGUCUCCUGCAGAUGGUGUGAGAAACCUGUUCAGCUUCUGGUGCUUCCACAACACUCUUGGGAGCCUCUCAGAGCCCUGUGUAGCAUUUCACAGUCGGUAGAGAGCUGCACAGCCUCCGAGACCGAAGUUUGGGGACCAAAUGCUGAGAGGUGACACAGAGCAAAGGCAUCCAAGCCCUCCGUGCGGGAAGACAGCCUGGGGUGGCUUCAGAGUUUCCGAGCUUUCUUGCAUACAGAAAGCUUUGUGGAGAAACUGGAGAGGAAGAAACGCCCCGCAGCUACAUGUGGCAGCCUCAGAGACGCGCGAGCUUUGCCACACACUCCAUGGAGGGACCAGCAGGGGAGAUAGCUUGCUGGAUGGUGCCUGUCGUGUUUCAAGCAGGGUGUCUCUCUGCCCCCAACCCCAUGUGUCCAUGGAGAGGCAGACCUUUGGUGGAGGAAUGAAAGCAAGGCCUCGUCAUUAAAGAAGAGCUGAUCAUGCUUCUCGCAAGAGAGACAUUGGGCCUGGUGUCUGAGCUGCCUUUGAUCUCUGGAUGCUGUGAUGCCCAGCUCCAUGGCACAGUGCCCUGGAUGUUGCUGAUGGCAGAGUGCUUCCUCUGUGCUCACCUUUUGCUUUCUGUAAGGGGAUAAGGUGUGUUGCACAAACACGAAGCAUUGGUUACUGGCUACUGCUCCUGCUUGCUGCUACUUUUUUGUUCUUUAAGACUCUGCUCCGUAGAUCAUGUGAUUAUAGGGGAAUCAGUUUUCAGUUAAAAACAUGCUUUUCCUGCUGGCUAUUGCAGAGAAGAACAUGAAAGCUCUGUAGAGUUGAGCCCAAAGGCUGAAGAGUCAAAAGACAAACAGAUACUGAAUCCAACAUUACUGGUUUUCAAAUUUUUAAAAUGAUAUUGUUUAGGAUACUGACAGUAUUUCAGAACCCAACUCUUAAAUGUCUGGGAUUAGCUGUUCUGCAAAGAAGAGGAUGUUGGCUGUCUAGUACUACUUGGGAAAUGUCAAAAUCCCAGCCCACAGCUCUGCAGAGCUUAAUAUAGAGCUUAAUCAGAAGUCUGUUACCACCCUCAGGGGGCUCCGAGCGAAAAGCAGGUCAGGUUUUCUCUUUCAUCUCUGCUGCAAGCGCUGGUCCAGAUGGAUAAUACUUCCAGCAGUGAUUCCCAGCAGCAGGCGGCUGAGGCUCUUCGAUGGCUACCUGACCUCCCCUGUGAAAUGGAAGUUCUGCCAACAGUACUGGCAUUUCUUAGCAGACAAGCAUCCACACGAUAUAAUUUCUAUAGUAACUGGUGUCUCUGUGUCUGCCAUGACCAUUCUCCCUGCCAGCCCAGCAGACAGGACUGAAAUUACCUGGAAAUAAAAUUUCUCAAUGAAAGUGUCCUUUCAACUUGCACCGCUCUGCAAUAACAGCACAUCCACAACCUUCUUUGUUUCUUGCUGUAGUUUGCCUGUAGAUGGUCAAUUGCAAUCUUCAGGCCUACAGAGAUGAUUCAUGUUUCCCCAUUGUUAGGCAUAUUAAAAAUAAUAAUUAAACAAACUCCAAAAUUCACUGCCCUCCAGUGUGUGCACCUCUAGCCCUUAUAGCUGAGACGCUGUAUCCACCAGUUGUUUCUGAAUUUUGCAGUUGGUUGACCCACCAGUACAGUAACAGGAUGCUGGGUGGAGUGGUGUGGUUCUUCCCAAAUUCAGAUGCGUUCAAGAUGCAUGGCUCAAAGAUGACCAGUCUGUCACCUUUAGUAUCAUUGAUGGAUCAAAAACCCACAGAUUCAUGCUGUGGUGGAUAUGACUGUGUCUGUUGCUAAUGCAGCUGUUCCGAAAUGCAAACCAGAAUUUCUAAGUGCUGCUGAAAUAGUGAAAACCCUUUGAGGACCAGGUGUGGGGGUGGUGGAUGGCAAAACCUUGUCUGGUGAAACUGUUCAAAAGAGCAAGUCUGUUAACGAACAGAGGGUCCCACGUUCACCUCCAACACCGUGCGCAGAACGACAAGAAGCAGCAGCAAGAACCGGCAGUGCACCAAAAGCAAAGUGUCCAGAAUAAACCAGGCCAAUAAAAAGAGCUGUGCAUGUGAACUAAUAUGCCAGUUUAAGCCACGUUUCCUGAAGCAGUUGAACCCCCAGCCACAAAGCUCAUCCCAGGAAGAAGAUCUGUAGCAGUGACGGUGCAGUGGGAUAAGUCUGCCUCACAGCUGCGCUGCAUACGGCUUGCCAAGCAUGUUGUUGCAGUGCUUGAUUAUCCAUCUCUCUUCAGUACUGGAGAAAGCAAAAGGUUCCUGUGUGCGUGUGCACUUGUGAGCACACGCAGUAGCCUAUGAAGAGCAUGUGUGCGCAUGAACAAGCACCAUUGAACACGUGAGCAGGACGCCGAGGGGUUACCGCAGCCACCCAUGCGUGUGGCCGGGGCUGAGCACCCUGGGCCACGCGAGGGACGGCGCCAUGCUGGCAGCCGUGUGCCCGUGUGCAGGCAGGGAGGGUGCAGGACUGUGCUGACAGCAGCGUGGCUCUAGCAGGGAGAACUUUUCCUGGCUGCUGACGAAGUGCAGCUGGGCUCAGCAAAGAGUUAAAUUGGUAGAGAAGAGUCUAGAAGGGCUCCUGCCAGCUAUAAACAGAGCGAUCAGCAUACACAGGAUGUGGCGAGCAGCUAAAGGCGUCCCGUUAUUAACUUCACUUUUAUUUCAAGGGGAUUCACUUCUCUGUUCUGUUUCCCAUUUGGGAAGUGAAACCUAAGACCAUGGUACCACUUAAAAAAAAUGGUCACAGCUCGUUUGUUUUUCUACUUUAUUCUUUUUUCUUUUAAAGGUUACUCUGCUGUUCCUUUGACGGAAUUUAUUGAAAUUACUGGUAACACACUGAGUCUUCACUGAGAGUAACUUCACUUCUGUUUCUCUCCUGAGGCUCUCAUUCAAGACUGUUGACUCUGAGGGGAGUGUUUACUUGAGGACACCUCAUGCUGCAUGCUCACAGCACGGUGCAACCCAGCCUGGAAGGAACAAUGUGGAGAGCGUUAGCACCGUCUCCUCCGAACAGCAGCGUCAGAGCCAGCCUGCACACUGCUCCCAAGGUGCUUUGUAAACAUUUAUUCGUUCUUGCACACGCUCCCUUCCCUCCCCCCAUAAGGUGAGGAAAUGUUAUUGUCACCAUUUCACAGAUGGAAGAAGUGAGUUCAGAUAGGUGCAGUGACUCACCAGCCGCAGCUGAGGCAGAUCAGGAGCUGAGGAGUCGAGCAUAACCCAGGAGGUCACGUUCCCACCCAGGGCUGGCAAUGUAGGUAGUGCCAGCCCCAUCUACCUGCCACCCACCUGUCCUGAGAAGCAGUAAUGCUCAUCUCAACAUUUGCAGAAUGAGAUCAGAUUGCUGUGGCUUACUCCAUGGGCUGGUGUCAUCACAGUGUGAUAUAUUAUUAUGAUAUCAUGAUGUUAUUACGCCUGAAACUAACGCAAGGCCACUCGCAGAACACGGGUAGGCAGCUGAACACUGGUGACCGUGCACUCCGCAACCACAUCACACGCACACACACGCCCUGUACCGAGGUGUUGGUCAAUCCCACCACGCCGCAAGGAUCUGCAAACGAUCUGCGUGCUGGGCAGGGCUGUCCCCAUGCCUGUCCCUGUCCCCCCUUCCCCCCCUUCGCUGCUGUCCUAGGUUAACUCGGCCCCACACAGCCCCUGUGUGAAUGACUGAGAGAGGAAACGUGGCUCGGUGAGGCAAUGGAAGGAAAGUGUUUGCUUCUCAGGUGGAAACGGCUCUCACAGCACAUGGUCAACAGAUAAGGAUCAGAGCCCACAUUCGCAGGUGAUGCUGGCUAUUUUGGAGCCCUGGGUGCUUGUUGGAAAAUCAAGCUUUCCUCAAUGCAAGCACUCAGGUGACAGGCACUUGGUGCCCAAUCGUGGCUGAAAAUUCAGGGCCGUACAUUACCACUAUUUGGUGGCAACUAUUGCUGUUUACAAUCCUCACCAAUAUCGUUUUCCUCUCCCACACGGCAUCAAGAACAACAACAACAACGAAAACCCCCGCUCCUUAUCACCUCCGCUUGCUUUCCACACUGUCUGCACGGCACAUGGUUUCACUCAUCCUCAGCUCGGCGCGGGCGAGUCAGAUCAGUCGGUUCCACUUUCUGACGCAGGUCUGUCUGUCUGUCUGCUUCUCAGGCCCGGACAGGAUGUGCCUGUGAUCAGGUUCACAAUACUGGAGGGGAGGUUGAAGUUCACUGUACAAAUCUGUGUAUUUUUAAGUAAAACCCUUGGUAUUCCCUUCUUUUAAACAGAACCUUUGUGGCAGGUCAUCCUAAUUAAACUACAGUUUAGCUGCCUUCUGCCUUGCCACGUGCAAAACUGGUUUCCAUUGCCACAGUGAAGUCUGCAGAAAGAUCUUCUUUGAUGUCUGGGGACUUUGGGCCAGUCUGGAGUCCUGGUCCUGCACAUGUUGAGAGGAAUGGCCAAACCCUCAUGGAUUGUAAGGUAUGAGAGACCAGGGUCUCAGCAGACUCAGGAGCAUGAAGGGCGUGCACCUGAGUGCCUAGGCUGCUCCAGGGCCUCCCUGCAUCUCUUCCUACCAUGGUGUGUGGUUGUGGGGAGCAGUGGGAUCUUACAGGCGUAGGGAAAUGGAGAGGUGUCUUAAGCAUCGAGAGCAAGAUGGCUCUUCCUCUUCCUCUGGCCCUCCUUUAGGGAGCAAGCACCACAUAAACUCUGCCAGAGACCUGGCUGCAGAGUCACAGCAGGCUCAGGUUUCCCGUCCUUGCCGAGGGUCAGGCUGCAGUUUCAGGCUGUGGGGAAUGCAGGCCAGCAGCGUGAGGGGUGGCGGGAGAGCGUGGGCUGGCAUGUGGAAGCGCCUGGAGUCAGCACCUUUCGUCCUCUGUUGUGGAACUGGCAGAGAGUUAAUCUCAUAGUUAAACUAUUACUGGGCUUCACCCGCUCUUAUCCCUCCACAGUGCAAGGGGCAAGGGGCUUAGUAGGUCAACUGGCACUGGUACCUGACAGCAAUUAAAGGGACCCGGCCAAGGCGCAGAAUUUGACCUAUGCCUUUUUGGUUAGAUCUUUUUCCACACUCCAUGUCAGUCCUCACAGGAUGUUUUUGCGCUUCAUUGUGUUUUGUGCUAAACAAAUGAAGUAUAAGCCCCGCAAAGCAGAAUGCCCAGCCCAAAGCCAGGGAUGCUCAGAGCAGCCUUCAUGAGCUCCCUACAAUAACACAAGAACGCACAGCGUGCUCGUGAGGGCAGCCUUAAUAUAACUGAUGGGUACAUGGCAGUCGGGUCCUUGCAAUGUUGCAAAACACAGUUCCUGAGUUUCAGGAGUUCCAGAUGGGGAAGACAGCUGUGCCAGCUGUGAGACUGUGAGAGACAAAUAAAACAACUAGCUGAGAAGGAGUUACAAAUUCAGGACAAACGCCCAGGCAGCACCCCGCCUUCUUCUUGUAAGAUGCAUAUAGCCAACACCCCGUUGCAAUGGUAAUCAGGGCCCUGGAUAACAUGGGGUUUGUUUGCUGCUAAUAUUGCCAUUGUACCUACCCUAGCCGCAGAUCUCUGCUCCAGACCUAAGCCACCAAGACUGCAAGUUAGAGCUCUGCUGGCCAAAAGCUUUCUGAAUGGGAACAGAGAGCGAUCCUCCCUAUCUCUACAAGUUCUAGCUCAGCAAUGUGUGCUACGCCCAUUCAUCUGAAUGCAGAAUUAGCUCUGAAACUAAUGAUAAGGCUUUAAACGCCAUUGCACAGCUAAUUUAUUUCCCCACUGUCCCAAAGUGCUUCCCGGGUGCUGAAAAGCUUGGCUGCCAAAAUCUCCAUAGCCUCUGCUGACAACAACCUCCACAGCGCAGCUCUGCAUUGCAACACCUUUCCCAUCACCGCAGGCCCGAGCGCUUCGAGCAGCAACGUAGUUAGCCAUGGUGAGGGUGGUCACCCGCCUCGAUGCACAGCUUGGGGAGCCGAGGCCGGGCGAGGCGACGUGCCCGCUCCCCAGGCUUGGAUGGGAAGUGUGCACCCAGCUGAUGCCUCCCGUUUUCCACGCAUCUGUUCCCUCCUCAGAGUUAAUUUAGCAAUUUUCUUUGCCUUGAUGUCAGCGGCAUUACAUAAGUCUAAACUAGGUGUGAGAUCACAAUACAACACAUCGAUUAUACAAGGAGGCACAAGGUCAUAACCACCCUUUGGACAGAGGGAGGACGUGUGUAUACACACACAUAAACACACCUAGGUGGAUAUAUAUAUAAACACACACGUGUGCACACAGCGUUUCCAUUUGGAGGUGUGCCAUGCAUGGCACAUGUCUGUUGGGGCAGAAAAACAUCGCUGCCUGUGUUUCUGCAUCAGAAUCUUUUGUUUUUCUCUCUUGGACUUUGGAGUUACUUCUGUUUUACAAAAAUAGCACCACUCAGGGCAGUCUUCCUGAUAGGUGGAAUAAUUUCCCCUUGAGAAGGAACUGGUGGAAAUCCCCUCUCUUGAGACAUUUUAACUCUGCCAAAAAUGUAGAAUGGGAGUGACUGUUUUAACUAGCGAGCUGACUUGGAUGAGCUAAUGGGUUUUUCCAUCACUAGUGUCUAGUUCCAGGGAUUUCCAUGAAUUGCUGUCAGGACAGAAGAAGGCAGCAGAUUGCAACUGUGGGAUCUGCUGUUUCAGCUCCACUGACACGUCAUUCCCUCAGGACACCCAGUGACCUGGUUAAUCUAGUUCUUUGCUUCUGACUUCUCCUCGUAAAUGAUUUAUCAACUGGCGUGGAUCCCUGUUUGCUUAAGGAGGCGUGUGACGACCUCUAGCAGACUGGCUGCUCAAAGCCAUGGGCUGCGUUUGGCACCCGAAUGCUGGUCCCAGCUUGUGACCCUUGGCACGGGGCGCAGAGGGACAGGGCUGCAGCAGAGCCCGGUGGGGAGGGCAGCUGCGGGGGACUGUGGGUAAUGUUUACAUGGCUGUCUGGAGAGCGCCGUGACUAAGCUGCCGGCUCGACAGCGAGAGCGCCUGCCCAGGACCUGCCUCAGCCCGCUCUGACCCCCGUGGUAUGAAGGUGCUGGUGGGCAGAGGGCCGGCUCACUGCUGCGUACGGGCUGCGGGGUGCUGCCCGCGGAAGCCUCAGCGGUACCAGAGCCAGCCUUGAGGUCCGUGUGCUCCAUGGAGAAAGUAACGUCACCGUCCUCCGCCUUGACCAUUCCCACAGAGAGAUCUGCAUCGGCGGUGGUGACAUCAGUGUCAUGUCUGAAGCAGAUGUGGCUCUGGAGGUCUUCAUCACGCACAUAUGUAGGUCUCUACGCAUGUCACCACGUGCGAAACGCUGCCGUAAGAAAAAGAUGGUGCAGAUCUAAACUCACUCGCUCAGAAUACAGGGAGUGAGGGUGAAGAUAAUUCCUGCAAGAUUUACAUCCUACCUUUGUACCUGGGCUAAAGGAGCGCAGAAAGAGAUCGGAUAUCACAAACUGGGCACCCUUCUGAAAAACUGUCUAUGGGCAACUCCCUGCCUUCCCUCCAGGCCAGUUAUUGCUGCUUCCUGCUCUGAUUGUUUCAAAUCCGGUUAUCUUGAGUUAUGCCUGUUCUGGCAAAUACGGUGCAGCAGAGGGGAGGUUCUGUUCCAGUCGAUGCUGUAUGCAUGCCACAGAUCACAGAGAUUAGCAUGGGAGGAAUCGCUGAGAUGAGCUGCUUGAGGCAGAUAGUGGGAAGCUUACAACAGAGCUGUGUAACAGAGUCAUAAAACUGUUGAACGAAAUCUUCAUUUUGGAGGACACGGGGCCAUGCUGGAUUUGCAGCUGGCAGGAGGCUGCUUUACAGGGGCAGCACCCAGCAGUAAGCGAGCAGAGGAAGCCUGUUGUGGGCAGCUGGGCUCCCAAGAAGCGCGGUGUCGCACCACCUAAGGGCCACACAUCAUCAGGGAGGGCUGGUUCAGGCUGUGGCAAGGAACCUGCAGCCACACGUAGAGAGGAGCAGGGGUGUGUUUUCUUCUUGCGUAAGGGCGGAUCUGGAGCAGCUUUCAGCUUCCUGAGACCUCAGGGGUGGUCGAUCUUCAUGGCCGAAGAGGGCGGAAGGUGCAGCUCCCAUUCCGUUUUUGGGGGCACACCACUUGCAUGUGCCUCAGCAGAAAUCUCUGUUCACACACCACAUGCUCCCACUCUGCUCCUUGUACAGAGGACCAGCGUCACCGAAGGACAGAGAGAUGGUGGGAUGUGUGAGGGCUAACCCCACCUCACUAGGAGCAGCCACAGCUUAAAAAACAAACCCAUGUCCCCACAGACAAAUUCAGUCUAGGCUGGGCCCACACGCCCUAUGAGAUCCUAGUCAUAGUCACAGAGCAGAGAGGCAGGGCAGGGAAAGAAAGGGUGGUCAGUGAGUUAUCCCCAAAUCAUAUUUCCAACCUCUUAAUAUGUGUGGAAUUAUUUUAGACACAAACUUCAGUCUGAAUUCCCAAGUGGUGAUAGACUUGUAUAUGGAUAACACCAGGUUCAGGCUUAAUUUCAAGCCCAAACUCACUGACCGUUCACACCACCUCUUCCAUUCAGUCUUGCUCUCCAAAGAGCAGAGAGGAGCCUGCUCUGUAUAGAAGCUAUGUCCUUACAAGCAGCACAAGUGCUCCUGGCUCAAACCUCUUGGUUUUGUGAACUCAAACACAUUUACUGAGGACAGCACGGAUGUAGAGUGAUGCAAGUGCAAAACUCCCCAAAAGCAUUCCUGUGUCCCUAGGGCACUGAAACAAGAGCCAGGUUUUCUCAUUGACCUCUUUUGUGGCAGGUGCACAGAUUUAGCAACAACACGUUAAAAGGAGCACCCAGAAACUCUUUGGCAGAGGCAGGACUGGAACCUGCUUCCUCUCAUCAUGUCUCCCAGGCCGGGGGAGAGCUUGCUUCCAAGUGCCUGGCUUUGUUCUGGUCCUGGUAACACAAGACAAUUUUCUGGUCUGUUCUUUGUAUAUCCCAAAGGGUUUUUAAUUUGCAUUUUUGACCACAACCAAAUUUAGGUAUUUUCAUUGAACUGUUCACACAGAAACCAUUUUAUUGAGCUGUUUUGGUUUUGGUGUGCUAAAAACACCAGCUGGUGGAGCAGUUUAGUGCAUUACAGGGAGACGUCACAUACCUCUAAGUUAGGUCUUACUGUAGGAGAUCCUACCAUGAUGCUCUGGACAAGCAUCAACUGCUUGUCAUGUAGCCCUGACAUCCUAAGGUACCACCACUCUUCUGGGAAGACAGGCUCAGAGUUAAGAGGCAGCUGACCACAGUUUCUUGUCCAGGACCACUGCUGAUGAGACUCACAUUAAAUCUACUGGCAAAUCUAACAAGAUUGAAUGCAGAAGGACACAGCCUCGGAUAAAUAGAAGUUAAGGGAAUAACCUGUUUUUCUUGGACUUGGUCCAGUAUUCACUAAAGGGAUUCCCGUGAGUAUCAGUAGGAUUGAAAUCAGACCAUAAAUUUUUUAUGAAUUUUCUUCUGCUUUAUUAAAGAAAAAAAAAAAACACGCAAACCCUAAAAAAAUAUAAAAAUCUAUUUUAAGAGUUGUUUCCCCUUUUUGUUACAUAUUUAUUCUCCUUUCUGCUCCUUCCCGUCACUAGGAAGGGUAUACUGCACCUCUGACAGCACUGUGAUCUGACAGCUGCCCAUAAUCUGAGCAGUAUGUUCCUGAACAGGAGACUGAACCCUGCUCCGAGCUGCUGCAGCAGAGCACAGGAGUGCUGGGGGAACGUCCAGCUCGCAACUAGCUAUUCACUGAGGGCCCUGUCAAGGCAGAACUGCAUAUUGAGAAGACACCCUUUCUAUCUCAUUAUCACCUCCCCAAACUAUCAAUUAAAAAAGAUGUCACUGUGGAUGUCAUCUACCUUCUGCAUGCACUUUUUUCACGCAGGGCUGUGACACACACUUCAUACAAGUCAUCUAGGGAGGGGUACUGUAGGCAUUGAGGCACUUAAAAAUGCCAGCAAAGUGCCUAAUUGGAAUUCAAAAGGGCAUUGGCCCUGACUCCUGAUUUCAGUGCAGCUUAGACAUGUAAGCCCCAGUCUCUGUCUCUAGGUACCAAACACCUUUGAAAUCUGGUUCCCUCAGUUCCCUUUUUGACUACGGCAAUUAGCUCUCAGGGUAUUAUGAGGAUGGAAGAAUACCCUGACUAUGAGUUCUUGGAAAAAAUAGAAAUUGGGAUAACUAAGUAACGUUUAAAUCAGUUAGACAGUUCAUUAACACUUCCGCUAACAGCCAACUUAGAGAGAUUCCUGUGCAUGUGCAUUCCUUCCCACUGUUAGCAUCUCCACUCACACAAGGAAUAUUUAUGACCCUUCUCCAUCAAAAGCCUGCUUAUUCUUAUUUAAAAUAGGCCAUAAAGAUACAUAUAUUAACAUUAGGGACAUUAACGCUCCCUUUUUGUCCCCAUGCUUAAAAAGGAAAAGAAGAAUUCAAACCUUAAAGUGGGAAGUGAAUUACACAGAGUGGCUGCAGACAGGAGCCAUUAAAUGCCUGGCUGCAUUUUUUUUUUAAAUUGAAACAGUAAAGCAAUUUUCUGUACAAAUAGCUCUGGCAAAGUGUGUUCUGUCGAAGUUCACAACCACACGUCCCUACAGAUCCAAUACAGCAGCAGAGCCUUGGACCUUCCUGCAUGCUGAGGAGGCACUUGGUUCUCACCCAGGAGAGCUGCUUGCCCAUCAGGCAAGGCACUGACCAAAUGUGUGCAGGCUGGAGGGCGAAGCAAAGCACCACAGCUCUUCUUUGGUUCCCACACAACUUCAGAAAUUUCAGGAUGAAUUCCCAGGUAGCAACUCCUGGCCCAGUAACGACAAGUACAGAGUCCAGAGGGAGGCAAAUCCAUAUUCCUCAUUUUGAACAAGAGGAGGGGAAAACCCACACAUGGUUGGUUUUCCUGUAAUCUUGAUUGCCCGUAGGUUUUGGUCCAAACUACUAAACUGUACGGCCUGUCUGUAAAUUGAGUGUUUAAAAGAAAGGCGUGUCUGUUUUUUUAACUUUUUGAUGUGUCAGUAAUAGGGGUGCCAUCUAGAGGCCAAAGUGACUUUCCAGCACAUUCCAUUGGACAGGAAUGGCAGUGUCAAUAACCUACUCCUCUCACUACCUCCUUAUAAACGACUUAUCAUUUCUAAAUAAAAUUGUUACAGUAUGAAGUACUUCUCCAUACACAUCUCUCAUUCAAGAGUUGCAAAUCCUGCCUUAAUCAAUCCAGUUUAAGAAUGGGCUAUACACAUUAGCCAUGUAUCUACCCACUGCAGGGAUGAGAUGUUGAGAGCAGCAACAGGCUCUGGUUAUACAGGUUUGGACACCAUCCUUCCCAUCCUGACCCUGAGCUGAUCACUGCAAGUCAAACUGAGCCGAACUGCCAGCGGUGGGAUCCAGUCUGGAACUUGCCUUGGUGGUUCCAGCCCCGUGCAGAACAACCACAUCUCAUGCUCCUCUGCAUUGCUGCCUAAUGUCCUCUCUUGCCUGGCUUGGGAAUGGCCUCUCCCUGUAGGAGUCUCCCUACAGCAGGCAUAGGAAUCAUCUAAUGUUAAUGCAAGUGUUAAAAGGAGCCCCGUACAGGGCAGGCAUGGCCACCUAUUGCUCCCCACAGUGCUCCAUGCUAAUUAGUGCUAAACCCUCCCUACCUCCCACCCAACCGGAGCAGCUGAGCAGGUUGCAGUGGAGCAGGAAAGUGAGGGUUGCACAGCGCUGCUCAGGCCUCACGGCCAGAGGAACCCCAAUCCAAUGCCCUCACAAAGCACUCCAGAUUUGCUUGCAGACUCCCUGCACCCACCGUGUUGCAAAAUCCCCUGCUGAUGUGACUAAGAGUCAUGCUCUGCAGCCUCAGCUUCGGUUUCUACCUCUCACAGUCCUGAAAUGGAGACAGGGAAGUGUCAGAUGCUUUCUGUUCUCCUUGCCCAAGACUCUCUGACCACGGGUGUUUUUGCGUCCACAGCGCUCAAGGGACCUUUCAGUCAGUGCUAUCUCGUGAGUAGCUAAAUAAAAACAGACCCAAAUGUUGUCGGCUCUGCUUACAUCAAGGAAAGGGGAAGCAGCUCUCCUACUACAGCAAGCGCUAGCAAAGUUCUGCAAGAGGCAGCUAAAAGUAGGGCUGCCCCCUACAACACUUCCGUCCUGCCUUUGACACACGCAGCUUUCACGUCUGAUCGGCCCCACAAUUUCCUUGUCGCUGGCUUGCCCCACGCCCAGUGUCCCCGGGCAGCCCUUCCUGCCUGCAGAGAGCCCCGGUGGCUUUGAAGUGCGGGCAGCUCCCUCACACUGGGGCGUGAGCAGCCACCUCCCCUGCUUUCUUCAUUGUUUUGGUCUGCAUCAGUUGCAAGUGAGAAGUGGGACAACCCCCCGGUGAAGGUCUCGCCCCAAGAAGAUGCUGAAAGUCCCUGAGGUGCUGAAGACAAGAAAAGUUUUCCACAGUGGAGUAUUUUCAAGGGUAUUUUUCUCAGUAAAUGAAACGAUGGAAAGUGUUUGUGUGAAUACCUCUGGGAUGGCAGUCCCAAACAUUCCCUUCUGAUUUUGGCAUUUUUUCCUGGAGACCCAGGAGCUGAAAAUGGCAUGAAUGUGCUUCUUGGAGUAAAAAGGAAAGAAAGCGCACCCGUGGUGUAAAGGAGGGGUUGUGGACCUCCUCUGCCUGGUCUGAGGCGCAGGGCUGAGAUGCCCCUGGCGCCAGGGAGCUGGCUGUCAGCAGGCUAGUGACACCGCGUGGAUGUUGGACGAGGGCACGUGGAAGGUGGAGGUGCGUUAGCAGCGUGCCGUAGGAGGAGCAACAGCGGUGCCAGUUCUGCCUGGGCAGUCUGUGAGAAGUGACAUGGGACAGAGCUCGCGUGGACGGGCAUCGCUGCUAACGCGAAGAGAAAGCCAUGAAGUGUGUUAACCCCAGUGAAACAGACUGUUGAAAAUGGUCUGUGCUGUUUGCCCAAGGUUUUCCAGAUCCUGGGAAAGUAAUACCCGUGGGAAGUUGAGCUAACUGGGACCUCAUGAGCUUUACUGUCUUCUCCACUUGUCAGUCCAGCAGGUACCAGAAAGGGUAAGGCAGCAUGUGCUGGAUUCCCUGUAAAGACAAAUCGGAUGAGACAUGGAUGAUUGGGCCACAGGAGGACUGAACAACUUACCACCAUGUUGCCAAAUGGCAGGAGCAGGGGCCCAGGCAGUCUGGGACCUGAUCAAUGCGACAGGAUCUUGGAGUCUGCCUGUUCUGGCUUCAAGCUCUCCAGCAGAAGGAUUUCGUCUUGAAGGGGAAUCACUUCACAGCCCCUGUUUGUGCUUGGGGGAGUGGAUAGGGGGUAGGGUGUGUGGAUCGAGAAAGCCAGCUGAGUCCCCUUGCUGUAAAAGGACCGAUGAGAAAAGAGAACUGCACCCCUUCACCGGCGGUAGGUGUGCUGCCUCGGCCUGCCCCCCCGAGCCCCGACGUGGUUAGGGGACCCUGCAGUUUGAGGCUGCUGCGAUGAGCUGGCUUGCAAAGGGCUUAACAGGAGAAGGCAUGCCUGGGGAGAGAGCCCCUGGCCAGCCUGCUGUGAGAGGGCUACUUCCCCAUUGGAUGGUAAAACACAGCAGAAAAGCCAUCAGCUCAGAAGGCACACCCAGACCGCUGGAAAUUCUGUCCAGACCAAGCCAGAAACUAUUUCCUGAAGCCUCUUUGUCACCAGACUGCUUUAGAAGAGUGGCACCAUUGAAAGUGUAGCUAAGACCGGCUGGAAACAGGGCUGUGGCAGGAGAAGGGUGCCAGCCCCACUUCUGGGUAGCUCCUGUGGGUACACGUGUGCGCGUGUGUGUGGGGAGAGGGGGGGCUGGUUCCUCAGCAGUUUUAUUUUUCUCAGUCUGGUUCAGAAAAGAAGCAUUUGUAAGCUCUCACUACUUCUAAGCCUCACCAACCACUCUCAAGAACAGCCUGUGAAGGUUUCCUGGGUGGUUGCCUUGUGGUUUUUACCGUUGCAGUUUAGUAUCUGGAUCUUAAUUUGGCCGCCCCCCCUCACCCCGCUGCCCUGCUGGUGGCCGCAAAGGCAGGCCACGUGUGCCCUUUGUCAAGCUGUGCCCUGCGUCCCUCAGGAGCUGCAGCAGAGUCAGGAACAGGCCUGCAGCCCUCGGGUCUUCCUCGCAGUGCUCCUCAGGGCAGAGGCAGACCAAGGGCAGACAGCGGGAUGGGAAGGGACACGCAGGUGGGCUGCCAGCAGAUCCUUCGAGGGAGCUGCGCAUGCCUCGGCUCCUUCGGCUGGUUUUUGAGGCCCCCGCUCCCCCUCCUCGUCCUUCCGCUCCCCCGGCAGGUGAGCAUGCCGGAAACCACACGAGCGGAGGAAGGCAGAGUUUCCAGUUCUCUAGUCAGUGGUGGUGUUGUGUAUUUAUGGUACAUAAAUACAUAUUUUUUUUCCACAAAGGUUUGGGUCACCAGGGCUAUUUUAAGAUGGGUUUUUCAAGUUUCCUCUAGAAAGGGUAUUUCGUUGAGGCAGUGUUACAGCACCAUCUGGUGGGCUCCCAGCUAACCUCCCGCAGCAAAGGGGCCGUGAUGCUUUCUGCAAAUGGCUGGCGCGAAGCGACCCCGUGGGAGCAGAGGGGUUCUCGGUCUGUCUUCAUGGUGUACCAGCCCUGGGCAAGAGAGCUGAAUACUCUUGCAAGCACUGCUGUGCUGCGAAAUGUCUGAGGCAACUCAGGCUGUAACACCUGUCUUGAGCUCGCAGAGUGGGUUGGAGAAUCAUCCAGGACGAUAGAAGGAUUUACAGUACUCAGCAUCAUCCUGCAUAUUUUACAGAGGGAGAUUGUGCAGUUUGGAGGCUAGUGAAUGUUGUGGCAAGAGACCUGGGGAUGGGGUGCAGGUACCUUAGCUGUAACCCCAUGCUGGUCCUGUAACCAGGGAGAGCUUUCCACACACAGCCACCUUCCCUCGGCCUGUAACAUUCUGCCUGGUGCUAGAAUAUCCAACAAGUCAGGGACUGGGGAUGGCUGCAGUGUGGUCUGGAAGCUCCCAAAGAACACAUUCGGCUCCAGCAAUCCCCGCCUCCUCCAGCCCAUGAACUCCAUGCUACGGCUGUUGCUUGCUUCACAUGAUAUAUCUGAUAAUAAGGUAUGCUGCAGUUUCCUUCAAUAGCACAGCAUUGCAGCUGACACUCUGGUGCCCUGCCUAAUUGCUGAUAUACUGGACAAACCCCACUGUUAUGUAAAGUGCACAGUCAUGGUGUAGCAGUGCAUGGGGCAACUUUAGACCCAAGUCCACCUCAGCGUUGGCUGCUACGUAACACCACUUCUCCACUGUGAGUAUAAGCACAAACCACCCAUCGCACUGUUUUUCCACACACAGCUAUUACUGUUGUUCAGGUUACGUAGACAAAUGGGAGAGUGUGCAGUGCAGGUUUUCAAGAUACUAACUGAACUAAGUAAAUUUAGAGAUUUGGGAUCUCAAAAGUUAUAUACUGACUAUCAUUCAUUCUUACUGAACAAUACAGCAAAGUGUGAUUCUUUUGGCAUUCAAGGAUAAGAGAGAUGAGUUACUGGAAUAAAAGAAGUUCAGGGAAGGUCAUAUAAUGAGCAUAUGUGGAUUUUAGACCAUACAAGUGCCAGGACUGGAAAAGGGUAUAGCAAACUGAAACAGGUGGAGGGCAGGUGUGGGCAGAAAGCUUGCAGCAAGCAUUUUGGCAAACCUGGAAGAGCAGUUUACAGCAGUGUUUUUUCUAGGUGCUAUAAUAGGCUAUGACAAUUUGAAGGAAAAGAGUGAGGAAGUUUCUUAAAGAUAUGAGAUUUUUUUUUUUUUUGAGCAGAUCAAUUUUCAGUUAGGCAUUCACAGGAACUGGCAGUGAUGCAGAAAACAUGGCAGUGGCCAUGUCUGCAAGAAACAGCAGAGCUGCUUGCUUGUACUUUUUGUUAAACGGACAGUACGAUCUGAAGCUUCACUGCAGUGCAUGGCUUAGGCAGGCAGGGCUCACAGUGGUGAGUAGCGCUUAGACACAGAGCCCCAUUCACCGAGAUUGAAGAAUAAUUCUUUCAGGCAUAGGUAUAAAAUCCAAGGGUUUUAUCCAGUUUCCUUUCUUUCCCCGUGUAUCUUUUCUUACUUUCCUUUCCUGUCAUUGUAAUGGCACUGUUUGCUGCAACACCUCCUCUUCACUCCCAGGUAAAAUCUCACCCAAAUUUUAACAAUCAGUUUGUGGUACCUCUGCUUUCAAGGUUCUACAGUGUGAGCAUUUGCAGAUUUUAAUGACUUCAGCUAGACCAGGAAGUGCUCACUUCCUUUAAAAGCAUGACCUGCUAUAUCUUACCUCUGCGAGCCGCAAAAUAAUAUCUGUAGGCCUCUGGAAUGCAAGGAGAAAUCCUUGCCUUAGAACUAGUUGUUGGGCAAAAUAAAAUAAGCAUGCAUAUAGGGUCCUGCUGGACCUGAUCUCAGGGUCUUCAGCGAUGUACCUCAUGUACAUAUGCACACAUACACAGAGAGCAGUUCCUGGCCUGGACUGAAGCAUCUACUCUAAGCAUGUUGAUCUGGACCUUUCCAGCUCAACCUGUCAUUGCUGAACACCCACACAGCAUAUGGAUUUUCGAGGAUAGGAAAAGAAGAACGGGGAGAGGAGACCCUGGUUACGGGAAACAGCCGCUACACCACACAAGAGUAUCGUUCAGUUCCUGUGAAACUCUUUGUCUUUUAUUUUAAGCCCUUCAUUAAUCUUGAAGAGCGGGUUUUACCUUACACUCUCGCCUCUCCCUCGUCACUCCCUCAUCAGGCCCAGCAAAUCAAUAGUAGCGAUUGUCCUUUGAACAUCUCCAGACUACCCAGGCCUACAGGGUUGCCAUUACCUAGUAUUUCACUAAAGAACAUAAUGCGGCCUUGUUUCUUACCCAGGCCCUCAGCCUGUUAAGCCUUACACUUUCCUUUCGGUGCCGAGUCGAGCCAGGGCUGGAAUGGCUGCUUUACGUGGAGUCAGUUUAUCUGCUGCAUCCCAUGCAGCUGAUGUGCACAGAGCACCCUGCUUGCGUGCCCCCCAGCCCCAGGCCUCCGCUAGGCAUAACUGUUCGCUCAUCGGCGGUAUUGUCCUAGCAAAUCAGCCCCAGGGUGAAUGGCUAACAACUCUCUUGCAGGUUUGUAGAGAGAGGGGGUGGAGGGGUAACUGAUGGCAUGGCUAGUAAAAGGGGAAACACCCUCAGGUACUGUAUGCACAGCAUUUAGCCUUCCAGAUAACAAUUGCUACACAGGGGGAAUGGAGGAAACUGUCUGGAAAUCACACGUUUCCAAAACCCUUGUGAGAAAACCGAAGCCAUUUAGGAGCUGUACAAUAUUCAGCGCUAGGACCGGGGUGCAGCAGCAGGGGCAGGCAGUGCCGAGGUCUGCCCAUGUCAGACCUGGUGGCCCCCAGCCCUGCGCAGGGUGGGGAGCACUGCGCGUACAGGCCCAGCCAAGCUCCCCUCAGCUGGGUGCUCCCUGCCAUCCCCACCCGCACAGCACGAACUCUGACUGACAAAUAGCAAAAACUCGAGUGAUCUAUGUCAGGCACAGAUUCCCAGCACCCCAGAAGUGGAGUGUUCCCAUUCCAACAAAACAGCUGGAAAAAAAAAAGCUGUUUAGACUGAAAAAGUCUGUCAGCCCCAGUCUGAACAGUUCCCAGAUCCAGCCUCCUUCCCCGCACAUGUGGGCAAUGUCCUCCACCACCAGGCCACCUGGAGCUGAGGUCUGAGCUCAGAUAGGUCUCUCAGCAUAAGCUAGGGGAACUUUACUGAAAAGGGUUGUUCCCCCAGGCUACUACAGCUCCUAAGGGGCACGAGGGUUGCAUUUUCCAAGGCAAUUUUUUUUGUUUUAUCCUGCAAGAGCAUUCGGCUCUCCAGAUUCCUGUACACGGCCUGAUUGAACACGCGCAUCAGAAGAGCCAUCCUGCUUCCAGGGUGUCUGUGUGACUCUUGACCUUGAUGGAACAACUAGAGAGCUAGUUAAAAAAUAACGUAGAGACAUCGCAACUCCUGUGGAAAUCAUUGGGAAACAGAUGCUACCUGCACCUUAAAAAAAAAAAAAAAGUGCUAAAGUUCCUGUGCAUUCUUGCUUAUAAAGUGAAUGGCAAAUGUCCUUGCACCAGAGAAGGUUCAGAAUUGAAGAGAUGAGGCUGGCAAUUACAGUGCAACAGCUACUAGCGGUAUUUGCUAGGGCUGUGCUACUUAACUGUUGCCCCCACUGUUGGCCCUGCAACCAAGCCCAGCUUUGAUUAGAUGCCUAGGGCUAGAAGCAGCUGUUUGGGAACCGAUGCAUAAGAACUGCUGCUGAGAAUGAGGAGCAACAUCUAGAAAAGGGCUAGAGAAUUUAUGGAAGCACAAACUAUAGCCUUCAAGAGAGGAUGGCAAACAUAACAACUGCAAGUGAAGAUGUCUGGAAAUCCAUUUUAGGCAUUUCUUCUUACUCUGAAGCACACUUCUAUUUCACAUCAGUUUUAAAAUAUUUUUUUCUCUUCUGUGAGGAAACAAACCUGAGCCCGUUUCAUGACUCCACAAGCAGUGGCAGCAAGUACAGCCACUAGAUGGCAGGAGUCAGAGAUGAAUCUAUUCAAUGAAGAAUCCUGGCCUUCAUUUCAGGCACACUCCCAUCCUGUUCCUGAAACUCCCUUACUUUUCAACUACAGGUGAACACCCUUAACCACUUGCUUUGCUUUUCUCACCUGUAAACCAGUGAUGUGACAUGGCCAAUUAUAUCAAAGUUUAUUUAUCUUCACAAACUACUUGGAUACCCUUGGUUGAAGAGUCAUGUGUUAAAUUUACAAAAAUGUAACAAAUAAUAAAGAAAUGCGAUACACGUCACAGAAAAAAUCUCUUAUUUUGGGGGAUAAUAGGAUACUUGUGCUUGUGAGAGAACCAGAAGGAUCACGGGGGAGUUACACCCCAGGUCACAAUUCCACUUCCUCCCACCAUGUAUCAGAUUCAGAGAGAACUGGUAAAAGCAAUACUUCAGGAGACCUGAAGUAUCCACUCUGUGAUAGAAUCGAGAUUGCUUAUGGAGGAUCAGAUGAGCAUCAGAGCUGGCACAAGACAACGGGCAGGAGCAGGGACAGCAGUUCCUCUUCCCAGCAGUGAGCAGCUAGAUCAUCUUCGCCAUAUUGUUCAACUGCACCCCCAAGGCAUGGGUGGAACCCUUACAACUAAAAUAAAUUUAACAUUUGCACUGUCUUAUGUCACCUCCAUUUACUGAGGAGAAAUUUACAAAAACUGCUCUUCAAGGCCCAGGCUAGGAGGAUAAAGGCAGGAGUAAUGACAGGUUUACUUGUUCUCAUGUAAAGUGUCAGAUGUUAGAACAUACUGCCUGUAAAAGCUGUGACUUCAGUACAUUAAAGGAGUUUAUGGUUAUUUUAAAGCUGGGCUUUCAUUCCUGUGCCCUGUAGUGUUGGAACUAAGGCACCUGGUAAAGGUAAAUAAUUUGUUCCAAUGCAAAUCUAAAAGUGUUCUAUUUUAAAAAUAAACUGGCUUCUGAAAUACAAUAGUUCAGCCAAGUCUCAUACUAUACCGUGUUCCCUGAUGAGUCUGCCAAGUUUAUUUCUUCUAAUCAAGAUGCCUACCUGAAUCACAGACACUACUCACAGAAACACAGGUAGUGUUUCUUUAGACCUUUUGCUCUUCUGCAGAGUACCAAAUACUUUUAAGCGAAGCAAACAAGUACACACAUUCCCAAAUCUGUUUAUCGUAAGAUCACAUGCAUAAGGAAACUUCUAAAUUUGAACUACUGUCAUCAAUAAUAAAGGUCUUGUUUCCUUCUAACGUGUAUCUUUACAGUCUUUGACACUAAAGCUGCCACCUCUCAAAAUUGAAACUCCCUCUGUCCUUUUUUACUUCACUGCUUCUUUCUACUCUAGUCCAUCUUUCCUCUCAGGACUUUUCUAUACUUGCUGGCCUCAGGCUAUUUUAUUCAGGCUGCGGAACCGUUUUUUUUAAAAAUUUCUCCACCAAGUCAGAUGCCCUAAAACUAAGAAUUCCGGAUUGGGUUUGCUUCUCCAAGUUGAGGUCUGAUAUGACCAAUUUACAGUGGCACGAUGAGUCAUCCUUCAUCAAAGUUAUUAAGUGUACAAAACUGUAGCUCAUUUUACACGUCAAGUAAUGUCUAAACUUUAAACACAACUGAAAAACGUAGCUUGCAUUUCUGCAACUACCUACCUUUCUUUCCCCACCUGUGUUUGCCACUUCUGAGUAAAUCAAGAGAAAAUUAUGCAAGGGGAAUAACAUCGUACAAUAAAGAAUCAAAAGUGAAUAGUAACAUUCACAAGCUCUGUAUUUACGCUAUUUGCAAGGUAAGCAAGUUGUAGCCAGGAGCACUCAAGGUCUCCAGUAUUGCACUUGCCAAUCUCAAAGGUUCUAGGCAAGAAGUGGACAUUUUGGAAGGUUUUUGGUAACAUCACAAAUUUACCAAAGCAAGCAACUUAGCAAAAUUGAGCAAAUCCCAGCUUUCCCAAUGUAGUCACUUCUAGCAAGAUUCCUUUGCAAAGUGAUUCCUAUUUGUUCCUUCUGUUUUGCUGAAGUAAAAAUUCAGGUAACAUCAAGCCAAGCAUGCAAACAUGAUUAGCAGAAACUUCCUCUAGUAAUGGUGUCUGUCUUGGUGCUUUAGAUUAACAGAAGUAGUGUAGGCAAUGUAAGAGUUCCUGGAACUGUAUUUCAAAUGUUCCAAAUGGUUUUACUUACAUGAAAAUUCCUGUAUUGACAUUUGGCUGUUGGUUCUUCUGUCAAACUGGGGACAAGAAGGUCAGUAACACAAAUAGUUCUGCAAGGACAGCAGAGAGACUAUUAUUUGUGAUCAGGUCUCUGAAACACCGAUGGCCACGACAGGAAAAUCCUAUCCAGUCAUCCUUUUAGACAGGAUCUGAUUACUUACAUCACAACUGGUUUCUAGUUUACAUUUUGCUUGCUUUCACAAGGGUACACCUUCAAGUAAGUUUCCUUGCGAUCGUGUUUGCAAGACUGUAUGAAGUGAACAACACCAUGUAACACUAGUACACAACACUGCAAGGUAAGCCAGAAAAAGGUUUUAUUUUUAUUAGGAUUGGUACAUUUAAACACAUGUAAGACUGAGUUUAAUUUACAUGUAUUUUUCCAAAAAUGUUUCCCUUCUUUAACAAUCCAGAAGUUAAAAAAAUCUUAUUCCAAAUUAUAAGAACAAACAGUAUUUGCAGUGGAAAUUUCUAUUAAUCAAAACAACUGUGCAUUCAGGAGAUUUAAAGAAAUUAUCCUCUUUACCCUUUAACAUGAUUAACUUUUCUUGUUACAACUGACUACACUUUUCCUGGGAAUUUUUGCUGCUGUCCUUUACUAAAACAACCUUCCUUUCCGUCAAGACUAUUUCUAGUCAUACACACAAUAUUCAGUAUCAUACAUCUGGGUAUGAAAGCUAUGCCACUUUUAUAAACAUUAAAAACAUGGACAUGCAUAUUGACAUUUCUGUGCAGUUUUAUGGAGUCACCUGUCAAAUAAGGCCUCUACAUACAAUAACACAUACUAGUGAAUUACUGGAAAAUUAGUAUAAUGGAUUCCCAAUAAUCCUGACAUCUGAAUGGUAUGACUCAUUUUAACAGGAAAAUCCAGCAUUCCUUACUGGUUAACAUUGUAUUCUUUCACUAACCAAAUGAACAAUAUUCAACUGGCCAACAUGUAUUCCUGAAAGUCUGUUGCAAAUUAAGCUUAUUAUCAAGGUCAUUUAAAGCUGGAACUUAAACAGCCUGUUAAGCCAAGCAAUGGGGGAAAAAAGUGAACUCUAACUAAAUUCAGCUGGUCCAUUCAUACUCACACAGAAAA